GGCUUUUUGUUUUAUUAUCCCUCUUUCUCUCUCGAUGAGUUUGUUCUGUUUUCUCGGAGCUCUUGUUCGGUUCUGGUCAGGAUUAAUUACAGGAUUCUCUCUCUCUCACACACACACACACACACACACACGAACAGUCGCACACACAGAAAGAGAGAACUUAUGUGGAUAUUUCUGCUUCUCAUCGAUUUACUUUUACAGUCAUCAGAAGGACACACUGUGGAAGACGGAUCACAUCUGGAGUAUCAGACCCUGCAGAAGAGAUAAAGUCUGAAACGAGAGAUGGAAAGCAGAAAGAAGGACUCAAAAUUCAAUGAAUCAUGGGAGAAAUGUGUGCUGAAGCUUAUUCGCAGAGAAAGCAUGCAGCAAAAACCAAACAUGUGUCUGGAUGCAGCCGGACCGGUAGAGUUUCAUUGUGCUGAAUCAGAGACAGUCACAGAUUACUACUGUACAUCCAGCUUUUUUGAGCUUUCUUUAGCUCUUAUUCAGCAGUGAGUGACGUCACAGUGUGUCUCCAUCUGCUGGACAGAGUCCUGUAACGCAAGAGGAUGCUUAAAGUCCCCGUGAAAUCAAAAUUAAACCUAUUUACUUUGUUAUCGCAUAUUACUAGUCUUGUGGUGAACAAUU